AACCAUUUUUCAAAAUGGCGUUAGACUUUGAAGCAGCUUUGAAAAGAAGAGGAUGGUUAUUGACACAUGAAGGAAUUGAAGAAUGUUGUGAAAAUCAGCAGAAUGUAUCUGUUGAUGUCAUAAUCCAAAAAGCACUUAAUUUGGAUUUACGAGAUAUUGGUGCAAAGUGCCUACCUGAUGACAUAGGAAAAGGAAAAGUUGAUGUGGUG